rnacentral:lncRNA from 1 species
AGUAUCAAACAGUAUAUUUUAAUAUUUUUGGCAUAUUUAAUUAAGCAUCUAUACUUACCUCCGUUUUCAAAAAGCAUAAUACACCUAGUCGAAUGCCAUUUCCAUAUUUUGAAACUGCACAUCUGCUCUGCGAGAACAUGAAGGUUCUGCCAAGCGGAAUCCUUAGCUUCCCCUCCCGUCUUCACUGACGGGCAGAGAUCGUCGACGCGUAAAAUUGAAUUCCGCGCCUUUCAACAGCCAAUGAGAGCACUUGCAGCAAAUAAGCCAAUCAAAUCCCUUCAUUUUUAAAAUCGAAUCACGCGCAUGCGCAGUGUCUGGUUUCCGUAACGUAAACAAACGACGCCGCUUUUUUGCAUUUUUGUUUGUUCGGAUUCUCGUUUCUGGCGGUUGACCGUUCGUUACUGUCAAGUGAUCGCAGUUUUAUAUAGUUCGUUGUUAUUUCUAAAUCAGAAGUCUUGCAAAUUUCACAGGGAUUACGUGCUGACGAUAACCAAGCUUUUCCAAUUAUUUUACUGCCGGUGAUCAGAUACAUCUGAGAAAAAAUGGCCCAAGUUGAAGUUCCUGGUAAAACAAACAAGGUUGUAAUCAAAACAACUACCGGAGACUUCUCAGGCAAUAUUCCAGUCGUACGUAAACCUUCACAUGUACGAACAAGAGAAUUAGCAGCACUUUACUAUCAAAGGUCAGCUAACCGCGAAAAUUCUGCGAAAUUGAUUGCAGGAGCGAUAGCACGCUGUAAGAAAAGGGUGAUGAAUUGAUGCAGAAAGCAAGUAUCUUAGAACAGAGGUACUUAGAAAGACAAAAGAAUCCAAACAAUUGCCGAAGCUUUUUUCCAAUUGCCCAUAUAGUAAUCAGAAAAACAGCCGCAUCGCACUAUAAGACGGCAACUGUCCACGAAUCUUAUGCAAAAUGGAUUGCAGCAGACAUAGUGCUCGCUAAAAAGAAGGGUGAUGAAUUUAUGGCUGAAGCAGAUGCCCAAGAAAAGCAAUACUUAGAACGAAAAAGAAAUCGAAUCGUCCGAACUAAGCACUAAAGGUAAGCACAGGUUUUAACCAAUUUAUUUCAAUUUUUUGGCAUACGACAUGGCUCAGCCUCCUAACGGUAAAAACCCUAAUGGGCACAUGUCUCACCAACUAGAGGUCAUGGGUCACUAUACACCUUGUUUAUUUUAUUUAAUAUUCUGAAAGUACUACGUGAGUAGAUAGUGUCGUAAUUUUUCCUUUGUUACGAAGCCGAAAGCACUAAACUUCCAUGCCUUGUAACAAGUCUGAAAGGCUUCAGGCGUUUGGCACAAGAGUGGACCCUUUUGAAUCAUCCCUUCCUCCCUUAAUAUAUUCUGACCAAGUCUGUUUUUUGGUUACAGGAAUACUUAGAACGCAAAAGAAAUCAAAUCGUCCGAACUAAGCACUAAAGGUAAGCACAGGUUUUAACAAAUUAUUUCAAUUUUUUGGCGUACGACAUGGCUCAGCAUCCUAAUGGUAAUAACCCUAAUGGGCACAUGUCUCACCAACUAGAGGUCAUGGGUCACUACACCUUGUUCAUUUUAUUUAAUGUUCUGAAAGUACUAUGUGAGUAGAUACUGUCGUAAUUUUUCCUUUUUUACGGAGCCAAAUCGCGGAGAAAACCGCUUUUGAAAAAUCCAAAAACAACAAGACAUUUCAAACGCAGCCGAAUGGCAGAAAACUAACUGCUGUGAUGUACCACGGUUGUCAAAUCGCAAUCUUCUCCCACUUUCCACUGAUGUGUGUUAAAAUGAAACAUAUUUCAAUGUGAAGUUAUCGCUUAUUUAUAAACGCACAGACCACCAUAUCUUUUGAACGAAACAACGUGAAACGAGAGAAGCUUACAAACAGCUGGAGGCCUCAAAAGGAAAAACCCGCAGAGGGCAGCUGAUAGGCUCUGGUGAGGUGAGGUAGGUUGAAAAGACGCGAUUGCGGGGAUUGAAAAGAGAUUUAUUCACUCAACAUGGCGGGUGACAAACACUUGAAACAAGAGAAAGAUCCUCGGGAUCUGGAUAGAAAACUACAAAGCAAAAACUACAUCGGCGAAAGAACAGAAAAGAUCAUAAAUCGGCGGAACCAGAUCGUCGAACGGCCGAGAGAGGAGCGAAGCACUGACUGAAGAACAAGAUGGCGACGGCUCAGCUGAUCGGCGAGCUUCGUUCAGGAGAGGGUGACGUCGCCGCCACUCGCAUCUCGACCGAUGGGACUGGGGGACGGACACCGUUUCAAACGGAUCAACUUAUCCUUGAUUUCUCAACGAGACCUUUCAUUUGAUGCACAUGAAAUCUGUUCGUGGUAAUUUUUCAAUGUGAAACAAAAUCAUGGUUUGAUUUUUCAAGCUCAAAAAAUUAAGUUUUUUCAAGUUCUUCUUUAAAAAGGAACGCAGGAAUCAUUACAAAAUUCAUUUUUAAUGGAAGCCCUUGAUUUAAGCUUUAAAACGAGGUAUAGUUCAACUUGGCGGAACAAAUGGCUCAAAAGUUAUGACUGUUCAAAGUUGGCGUGGUGCGCUAUUUCGAAGGGCGCGGAGUGUAUACUGUAUACUCGUGUGCCACCCCUCCCUACCUUUUCCCCCGGAGCCCGCUUCUGCUGAUGACGGAUACAGAAAGGUCCAAGCUCCUUCCACCUAAAGAAAGAUCUAGCAUUAUCGCAAAAUUACUUUCAUUUCUGACGAAAAAAGGAAAAUAAAAAUAAAUAAAAAGCUUAUAAACGAUAAGACGCUGGCAUAAAUUAUUUUUCGUCGCCCUCCCCCCUGCAUGAUUUAAUAUUUAAUAGCCAAAUCAAGCCUCUCAUCAUUGUGGUAUCUGAUUUUUUCCGUGCAGGUUAUUUUUGAUGAGAAUGGAAUGGAUCGGAUUUAAUAUGCAUAUCAAAUGAAAGGUCUCGUUGAGAGCUUUCAUUUGAGCCCAUGAUCAAGUUGAUAUGUUGUUUCGUUCAAAAGUUAUGGCGGUCUGUGUGUUUGACCCUUGACCCCCUCCUCCUCGCCCCUUGAAGGGCUAGACGGGAAAGGUCACGGAAUUCAGGCCUCUCCGAUGAUCCGUUAUGAGUCCUGAAAGUAUGGAUGUAGAAUCUCUUGCGGCCAUUUCCUAUGGAAAAUGAGACAGCCUCUCUCACAGACCCCCAAUCAAUUUUGGGGAGGCGCUAGGGGGAUGGAAGGCAAAACCUGUGAAAGCCGAUAAAAGUUUUUUUUGGAAGUGGAAACUUUGAAUUAUGUAAACAACAAGCACUGUUCUCUAAUUAUUAGGUUUAUCUCGUAAUUUUCACUUUGCGCUAUUUUGCAUCAAAUUUUGAUCUGAAAACAUCUUUUGUGAUGCUUUAAAUCGUAAUGUGUUUAUUGGUUCACUAUCGAACCUCAGUCGAUUGUUUAUCAAUUUCUGAGAGUGUGGAAAUUAACAAUAUCCUCAGUGCCACAAGGCGACGGCAUGAUAUUCUCAACCAUAAAGGAACCUAAACGCCCCUUUUCAUCAGGAAUUUUUCUCUAAUUGUGAAUAUUAAUUUCAUAAAAGAAUUGUUUUGUUCAGACCACCAGAUUCCUGUUAACUGAGAGAAACAGCCAACACAUAAUUUUAGCAAAACUUAAUGGUUCGUAGCAUGUUUUGGAUUUCCACUCUUUAUUUAUUGAUCAAGGUUGCCAGAUGAGCUAUCGACUGUAAUUCAACAAUAUUGAGGUACGUCGUUUUUGGAAAGCCAUUUUAAUGGCUCUCGCCAGCAAACCUCUGAACUGGAUGACAAGUUAUCAUGCA